rnacentral:rRNA from 1 species
GUGCUGCGGCAGCUACCAUGCAGUCGAGCGGUAACAGAUCCAGCUUGCUGGAUGCUGACGAGCGGCGGACGGGUGAGUAAUGCAUAGGAAUCUGCCCGAUAGUGGGGGAUAACCUGGGGAAACCCAGGCUAAUACCGCAUACGUCCUACGGGAGAAAGGGGGCUUCGGCUCCCGCUAUCGGAUGAGCCUAUGUCGGAUUAGCUAGUUGGUGAGGUAACGGCUCACCAAGGCCACGAUCCGUAGCUGGUCUGAGAGGAUGAUCAGCCACAUCGGGACUGAGACACGGCCCGAACUCCUACGGGAGGCAGCAGUGGGGAAUAUUGGACAAUGGGGGGAACCCUGAUCCAGCCAUGCCGCGUGUGUGAAGAAGGCCCUCGGGUUGUAAAGCACUUUCAGCGAGGAAGAACGCCUAGCGGUUAAUACCCGCUAGGAAAGACAUCACUCGCAGAAGAAGCACCGGCUAACUCCGUGCCAGCAGCCGCGGUAAUACGGAGGGUGCAAGCGUUAAUCGGAAUUACUGGGCGUAAAGCGCGCGUAGGUGGCUUGAUAAGCCGGUUGUGAAAGCCCCGGGCUCAACCUGGGAACGGCAUCCGGAACUGUCAAGCUAGAGUGCAGGAGAGGAAGGUAGAAUUCCCGGUGUAGCGGUGAAAUGCGUAGAGAUCGGGAGGAAUACCAGUGGCGAAGGCGGCCUUCUGGACUGACACUGACACUGAGGUGCGAAAGCGUGGGUAGCAAACAGGAUUAGUCCCC